rfam:Bacteroidia bacterium 44-10 SCNpilot_bf_inoc_scaffold_4869, whole genome shotgun sequence.
GAGGGCAGGCCCCUCGUAACCGUCUUACAGGAGAUGGUUGCAAACCAGUAUAUGCUGCUUUUUCCCCAUGGUUAAGGUAGUGAACAAUAUACGAAAAGGCAAUAUCUAAAUUGCCAGGU